UACGUAGGUGGCAAGCGUUGUCCGGAAUUAUUGGGCGUAAAGCGCGCGCAGGCGGUCCUUUAAGUCUGAUGUGAAAGCCCACGGCUCAACCGUGGAGGGUCAUUGGAAACUGGGGAACUUGAGUGCAGAAGAGGAAAGCGGAAUUCCACGUGUAGCGGUGAAAUGCGUAGAGAUGUGGAGGAACACCAGUGGCGAAGGCGGCUUUCUGGUCUGUAACUGACGCUGAGGCGCGAAAGCGUGGGGAGAAAACAGG
rnacentral:rRNA from 1 species